CUCCUCUUCUCACCCUUUUUCUUCUCAUUACAGGGUACUGGGUCAUAAUCGUGCUGUUAUUCAUUGCUAUUGUUGUUGUGGCUGCCGUUCCCACCUAACUUGCCAGCCGAUGAUGCGGCGUGGGAGUGGGUACCCUUAUCUUUCCAGCCAGAUCCACCGACACCAAAGCCGCAUCAAGCCCCCACACAUUGAACAUAUAUAUAUAUAUAUAUAUAUAUAUACAUAACUCGAAAGAAAAAAGUUGUAAUUUUAAUUAUUUCCAUAUUUUUCCAUUUUAAUAUAAGUACCUAUGAAAUGACUCAACAGUCACGUGUUUGUGGAAUAAAUCUCUCCAGAAACUUUUAGACUUUGAAAAAUA